rnacentral:lncRNA from 1 species
GAGCAACAGGGGAGGUUCUAUUUGGGUGGACAGCUAGUAUACUGAUCAACGUGGAUGGGAUGAAGUGUGAACUCCUUUUCAGAGAUAUCAGAAGAUGGGCAUAGUGACAUCUGUAAUUCUAACACUUGGGACAUAGUGACAGGAUAUCAGGAUCUACAAGCCAGCCUCUGAAACACAAGGUUUCUCUGCAUAGGAGAAGUUUGCCCUUAAACCUGAAUCAGAAAUUCAAUUUGGAGACAGCUAAGAACAUUGUAAUUUUGACAAUAUCAUGGCUUGAGGAACUGUGGUGUAAUCUGUUGUCUCUCACCUGACAUCACAUCAAAAUGGAAUAUAUUCAUCUGCCCCAAUUUUGCAAAGAAACCAGGAGUCAACUUCAAAGGAGGAGCUUCAGAUACAGAAGAUAAAGAAGUUAUCACAGACAAGAGAACGAGCUGGAAUGAUGGAGUAUCAAACAAGCGUGAGAUUUAGUUUCAGCAAAUCAUGGAUCAUUCACAGAUUAUGCAUUAAAUUGGAGAACACAAUUUUGUACUUCAGAGAG